rnacentral:rRNA from 1 species
AGAGUGGAAUUCCACGUGUAGCGGUGAAAUGCGUAGAGAUGUGGAGGAACACCAGUGGCGAAGGCGACUCUCUGGUCUGUAACUGACGCUGAGGAGCGAAAGCGUGGGGAGCGAACAGGAUUAGAGACCCUGGUAGUCCACGCCGUAAACGAUGAGUGCUAAGUGUUAGGGGGUUUCCGCCCCUUAGUGCUGCAGCUAACGCAUUAAGCACUCCGCCUGGGGAGUACGGUCGCAAGACUGAAACUCAAAGGAAUUGACGGGGGCCCGCACAAGCGGUGGAGCAUGUGGUUUAAUUCGAAGCAACGCGAAGAACCUU